rnacentral:rRNA from 1 species
UGGCUCAGGACGAACGCUGGCGGCGUGCUUAACACAUGCAAGUCGAACGAUGAACUUGGAGCUUGCUUCGGGGGAUUAGUGGCGAACGGGUGAGUAACACGUGAGUAACCUGCCCUGGACUCUGGGAUAAGCGUUGGAAACGACGUCUAAUACCGGAUAGGACCUCGGACCGCAUGGUUCGGGGUGGAAAGUUUUUUCGGUCUGGGAUGGACUCGCGGCCUAUCAGCUUGUUGGUGAGGUAAUGGCUCACCAAGGCGUCGACGGGUAGCCGGCCUGAGAGGGUGACCGGCCACACUGGGACUGAGACACGGCCCAGACUCCUACGGGAGGCAGCAGUGGGGAAUAUUGCACAAUGGGCGCAAGCCUGAUGCAGCAACGCCGCGUGCGGGAUGACGGCCUUCGGGUUGUAAACCGCUUUUAGUAGGGAAGAAGGGCUUCGGCUUGACGGUACCUGCAGAAAAAGGACCGGCUAACUACGUGCCAGCAGCCGCGGUAAUACGUAGGGUCCGAGCGUUGUCCGGAAUUAUUGGGCGUAAAGAGCUCGUAGGCGGUUUGUCGCGUCUGCUGUGAAAUCUGGAGGCUCAACCUCCAGCCUGCAGUGGGUACGGGCAGACUAGAGUGCGGUAGGGGAGAAUGGAAUUCCUGGUGUAGCGGUGGAAUGCGCAGAUAUCAGGAGGAACACCGAUGGCGAAGGCAGUUCUCUGGGCCGUAACUGACGCUGAGGAGCGAAAGCGUGGGGAGCGAACAGGAUUAGAUACCCUGGUAGUCCACGCCGUAAACGUUGGGCGCUAGAUGUGGGGACCUUUCCACGGUUUCCGUGUCGUAGCUAACGCAU